rnacentral:lncRNA from 10 species
AUUUGGAUUUAUGGCUCAGGAGAACCAAGGAUAUUUGCUUACAUUUAUACCACCCUUACAAGGUCCAUACUCUAAUAUGGCCACUUUACAGGUGAGGAAACUGAGGAUCAGAGUGAAAGCAACCUGCCUCAGCCCCCAUAGAUAAUAACGAUCAGAGCCAAUAUAAACUGGUGUAGUAAGUAAGAAGACAAAGUAGGUAGUAUUGCUAUAGGUAAAGCAAGAGCUAAGGAAAGCCUUAGUUGAUAUGGCAGAAAUAGGAACAGAGAGAAAGGGACAGAAAAGGAAGAAACUGUGAAGCCUGAUUAGAAAUAUGGAAGGCAGAAUUCAAUAUACUCCUAGAAGCAGCCCAUGAAAAUAAAAUGAA